CUUUUCAUUUGUCACCUGCAAGUCGUUAUCAAGUCCCUCUGUGUGCAGCUUCACUUUCCUUUCAAAAUGUUGUAUGAUGCCCUUAGUGCGAGGUGUAAGUGGUGUUUCGUUACCAUCAUCUACCCCUGGCAUGGUUCAAAGACAAAGACAACAAAAAGGCAAGUGAAGAAAUAAAAGCCCUACAACUACUAGGAUGUAGCUACAGCAAGUCGCUCACACUCAACCUGUAACACAAGUUCUUACCAAUUCUUACCUUGCUUGACAGGAGGGGUCGUCUGCCAACAAGUGUACAGCAAUGGACGAAGUGUAUCGGUGCUGCAGCACAAGACCUGUCAAGCUGUAGAGUAUGUGGAGCUAUAGGUGGGCUGAAACAAGGAACAAACCAGCACCACGUUAGUUAUAAAAGCGAGCUGAAUAAGCGUUCGACGAUGGUACUGUGCUGGUCCUAGGCUAGACCGUGCUGGAGACGCGAGCCUGGACACAAAGGAAAACUACAGCACACCCCCAAAAACAAGCUGGAACAAACCUAGAAUCAAUAUGAAAAACAGCCCCUUUUUUUCUCUUUUGAAUCUUUUCUCUUUUCUUUUUUUUUUAUUUUUUUUGGGUAACCUCAAAAACUGAUUAUAUGAACAAAAGAAUACAAAAGAGCAAUUCGCUACACCCACUCUCUCUCUCUCUAGAGUAAGGCCGAACAAGUAUGGAGUUAUCUUUCUUUUUGGAUCACAGAAAGACUCACAUAGACGGAGUUCAGGCUAUAUUAACAAGCGGACUCCAAGUUCUAUUCGGUUUCCACUCAGAACCAACCACAAAAUGGAUUCCACCUAUUGCCGAGUUCUACUCGGUUUCCUUCUUUUUUUAUCACGUUGGUGGAACUCAGAUUGGAACUCUACUCGAUCCGGACCAAGACCACAGUUCAAUUCGGACUUCGCAACAGAUUCGACAGAGAGAAGAUAUGGUAAUACUCGGCUGUGUAUAGAUGGUGACAAGAACUCAAAACUCUAAAGGACUAGACACUAAGACCAGCAACUCGACACAAACCGAAGCAACGCAAAUUCAACAAGCCCUAACUAAAACGGUACUAGCCAAGGCACAAAGGUUUAAUAGGAUUAUGGAAAAAACUAAUCUACUAUAUUUUUUUUGGCUUUUCUGGACUAUAGGAAAUUAAUUAAAAACAGCAAAGGAUUAGAAGUCUCUCACCGAAGAACCUUGCUCUGAUUACCAACUGAUGCGAACCCGCUAGGGUUUUUGCCCGAUCUUUUGAUGAGAGACUGUAACACCCAAAAAUUUACAAAUUUUGAAAUAGGUGGAAAUGAUUUAAUUCUGUAUUUUUGUGUUCAUGGAAUAUAGAGAAAUAAUAUUUUUCAUCGAAUUAAAAGUUAUUAUAGGUUUUAGCAACAUGUUUACGCAUUCAUGCUGAAGCAUAUUUUGUACUGCGUGUUUUGUUUAAUCUCUGAGAAUGAUUUAAAAUCCCUUUAGAAAAAGGUUUUUGGAAAAGGAAAACAGAAAAAAAAACGGCCAGCCCUCCCCUCGGCCU
rnacentral:lncRNA from 1 species